GGGCGAUAGCUCAGUGGCAGAGAAUCUACCCUGUACGCAGAAGGUUCCUGGUUCAAUCCCAGCUGGCAUCU